AUUGAACGCUGGCGGCAGGCCUAACACAUGCAAGUCGAGCGGAUGAAGGGAGCUUGCUCCUGGAUUCAGCGGCGGACGGGUGAGUAAUGCCUAGGAAUCUGCCUGGUAGUGGGGGAUAACGUCCGUAAACGGGCGCUAAUACCGCAUACGUCCUGAUGGAGAAAGUGGGGGAUCUUCGGACCUCACGCGAUCAGAUGAGCCUAGGUCGGAUUAGCUAGUUGGUGGGGUAAAGGCCUACCAAGGCGACGAUCCGUAACUGGUCUGAGAGGAUGAUCAGUCACACUGGAACUGAGACACGGUCCAGACUCCUACGGGAGGCAGCAGUGGGGAAUAUUGGACAAUGGGCGAAAGCCUGAUCCAGCCAUGCCGCGUGUGUGAAGAAGGUCUUCGGAUUGUAAAGCACUUUAAGUUGGGAGGAAGGGCAGUAAGUUAAUACCUUGCUGUUUUGACGUUACCAACAGAAUAAGCACCGGCUAACUUCGUG
rnacentral:rRNA from 1 species